CACAAACCAGCUAGAACAGAACG
rnacentral:piRNA from 1 species